AGAGUUUGAUCAUGGCUCAGAUUGAACGCUGGCGGCAGGCCUAACACAUGCAAGUCGAACGGUAACAGGAAACAGCUUGCUGUUUCGCUGACGAGUGGCGAACGGGUGAGUAAUGUCUGGGAAACUGCCUGAUGGAGGGGGAUAACUACUGGAAACGGUAGCUAAUACCGCAUAACGUCGCAAGACCAAAGAGGGGGACCUUCGGGCCUCUUGCCAUCAGAUGUGCCCAGAUGGGAUUAGCUAGUAGGUGGGGUAACGGCUCACCUAGGCGACGAUCCCUAGCUGGUCUGAGAGGAUGACCAGCCACACUGGAACUGAGACACGGUCCAGACUCCUACGGGAGGCAGCAGUGGGGAAUAUUGCACAAUGGGCGCAAGCCUGAUGCAGCCAUGCCGCGUGUAUGAAGAAGGCCUUCGGGUUGUAAAGUACUUUCAGCGGGGAGGAAGGGAGUAAAGUUAAUACCUUUGCUCAUUGACGUUACCCGCAGAAGAAGCACCGGCUAACUCCGUGCCAGCAGCCGCGGUAAUACGGAGGGUGCAAGCGUUAAUCGGAAUUACUGGGCGUAAAGCGCACGCAGGCGGUUUGUUAAGUCAAAUGUGAAAUCCCCGGGCUCAACCUGGGAACUGCAUCUGAUACUGGCAAGCUUGAGUCUCGUAGAGGGGGGUAGAAUUCCAGGUGUAGCGGUGAAAUGCGUAGAGAUCUGGAGGAAUACCGGUGGCGAAGGCGGCCCCCUGGACGAAGACUGACGCUCAGGUGCGAAAGCGUGGGGAGCAAACAGGAUUAGAUACCCUGGUAGUCCACGCCGUAAACGAUGUCGACUUGGAGGUUGUGCCCUUGAGGCGUGGCUUCCGGAGCUAACGCGUUAAGUCGACCGCCUGGGGAGUACGGCCGCAAGGUUAAAACUCAAAUGAAUUGACGGGGGCCCGCACAAGCGGUGGAGCAUGUGGUUUAAUUCGAUGCAACGCGAAGAACCUUACCUGGUCUUGACAUCCACGGAAGUUUUCAGAGAUGAGAAUGUGCCUUCGGGAACCGUGAGACAGGUGCUGCAAGGCUGUCGUCAGCUCGUGUUGUGAAAUGUUGGGUUAAGUCCCGCAACGAGCGCAACCCUUAUCCUUUGUUGCCAGCGGUCCGGCCGGGAACUCAAAGGAGACUGCCAGUGAUAAACUGGAGGAAGGUGGGGAUGACGUCAAGUCAUCAUGGCCCUUACGACCAGGGCUACACACGUGCUACAAUGGCGCAUACAAAGAGAAGCGACCUCGCGAGAGCAAGCGGACCUCAUAAAGUGCGUCGUAGUCCGGAUUGGAGUCUGCAACUCGACUCCAUGAAGUCGGAAUCGCUAGUAAUCGUGGAUCAGAAUGCCACGGUGAAUACGUUCCCGGGCCUUGUACACACCGCCCGUCACACCAUGGGAGUGGGUUGCAAAAGAAGUAGGUAGCUUAACCUUCGGGAGGGCGCUUACCACUUUGUGAUUCAUGACUGGGGUGAAGUCGUAACAAGGUAACCGUAGGGGAACCUGCGGUUG
rnacentral:rRNA from 1 species